rnacentral:lncRNA from 1 species
AUAUCUUUUCAUAUUUUUGUGUCUUCAAUUUCUUUUGCCAAAGUUUUAUAGUUUUCAUUGUAGAGAUCUUUCAGUUCUUUGGUUAAUUCAUAGGUAUUUAAUUUUAUUUAUAGCUAUUGUAAGUGGAAUUACUUUUUAAAUUUCUCUUUCAGAUUGUUCACUGUUGGCAUAUAGAAAUGCUGCAGAUAUUUGUGUGUUGACUUUGUAUCCUGAAAUGUUUAUCUUUUUGAAUAUUGCUUCUCACCACUCCUCAUAUUCUCUCCAUCUGGAAUUCACAUCAGGUAUAUUUUGAAAACUCUCAUUCUAGUAUCAAGGCUUAUUAAGUUCCCCCUUUCCUUCACAUUUUUAUACUUUUAUCUCUGUGUUUGAUAUACAGGACAAAUUCCUUAGUUGUAUCUUCAAAUUCACUACAUCUCUUUCUGGCUGUAUCCAGCCUAGAGUUUAUACCAUCUCUUGCACUUUAAUUCUAAUUACUACAUUUUUCCAAUUUCUGGAUUUAAAAAUUGGUUCUAUUUUAUACCCAUUUGUUCUUGAUUCAUAUCUCCCUCUUCAAAUGUUUAUUUUAAAAUUAUUUUGAUAUUGCUUUAUUUUUUAUUUAACUGGGCAUGAUUUUGUUUUCCAAUUGAU